GUAGGGUGCAAGCGUUGUCCGGAUUUAUUGGGCGUAAAGAGCUCGUAGGCGGUUUGUUACGUCGGAUGUGAAAUCCUGGAGCUUAACUCCGGGCCUGCAUUCGAUACGGGCAGACUCGAGUGUUGUAGGGGAGACUGGAACUCCUGGUGUAGCGGUGAAAUGCGCAGAUAUCAGGAAGAACACCGAUGGCGAAGGCAGGUCUCUGGGCAACUACUGACGCUGAGGAGCGAAAGCGUGGGGAGCAAACAGGAUUAGAUACCCUGGUAGUCCACGCCGUAAACGGUGGGCGCUAGGUGUGGGGAGCAUUCCACGUUCUCCGCGCCGCAGCUAACGCAUUAAGCGCCCCGCCUGGGGAGUACGGCCGCAAGGCUA
rnacentral:rRNA from 1 species